CAGUGAGUGUAUAUGUGUCAGUCAGUGAGUGUGUAUGUGUCAGUCAGUGAGUGUGUAUGUGUCAGUCAGUGAGUGUGUAUGUGUCAGUCAGUGAGUGUGUAUGUGUCGUCAGUGAGUGUGUAUGUGUCGUCAGUGAGUGUGUAUGUGUCGUCAGUGAGUGUGUAGGUCAGUGAGUGUGUAGGUCAGUGAGUGUGUAUGUGUCGGUCAGUGAGUGUGUG